rnacentral:rRNA from 1 species
UUAAGCGACUAAGCGUACACGGUGGAUGCCCUGGCAGUCAGAGGCGAUGAAGGACGUGCUAAUCUGCGAAAAGCGCCGGCGAGGUGAUAUGAACCUUUGACCCGGCGAUGUCCGAAUGGGGAAACCCAGUGCAAUCCGUUGCACUAUCGUUAACUGAAUACAUAGGUUAACGAGGCGAACCGGGGGAACUGAAACAUCUAAGUACCCCGAGGAAAAGAAAUCAACCGAGAUUCCCCCAGUAGCGGCGAGCGAACGGGGAGCAGCCCGGAGUCUGAAUCAGCUUGUGUGUUAGUGGAACGGUCUGGAAAGUCCGACGGUACAGGGUGAUAGUCCCGUACACGAAAGCACACUUGCUGUGAACUCGAAGAGUAGGGCGGGACACGUGGUAUCCUGUCUGAAUAUGGGGGGACCAUCCUCCAAGGCUAAAUACUCCUGACUGACCGAUAGUGAACCAGUACCGUGAGGGAAAGGCGAAAAGAACCCCGGCGAGGGGAGUGAAAAAGAACCUGAAACCGUGUACGUACAAGCAGUGGGAGCCUCUUUAUGGGGUGACUGCGUACCUUUUGUAUAAUGGGUCAGCGACUUAUAUUCUGUAGCAAGGUUAACCGUAUAGGGGAGCCGAAGGGAAACCGAGUCUUAACUGGGCGUUAAGUUGCAGGGUAUAGACCCGAAACCCGGUGAUCUAGCCAUGGGCAGGUUGAAGGUUGGGUAACACUAACUGGAGGACCGAACCGACUAAUGUUGAAAAAUUAGCGGAUGACCUGUGGCUGGGGGUGAAAGGCCAAUCAAACCGGGAGAUAGCUGGUUCUCCCCGAAAGCUAUUUAGGUAGCGCCUCGUGAACUCAUCUUCGGGGGUAGAGCACUGUUUCGGCUAGGGGGCCAUCCCGGCUUACCAACCCGAUGCAAACUACGAAUACCGAAGAAUGUUAUCACGGGAGACACACGGCGGGUGCUAACGUCCGUCGUGAAGAGGGAAACAACCCAGACCGCCAGCUAAGGUCCCAAAGUCAUGGUUAAGUGGGAAACGAUGUGGGAAGGCACAGACAGCCAGGAUGUUGGCUUAGAAGCAGCCAUCAUUUAAAGAAAGCGUAAUAGCUCACUGGUCGAGUCGGCCUGCGCGGAAGAUGUAACGGGGCUAAACCAUGCACCGAAGCUGCGGCAGCGACGCUUAUGCGUUGUUGGGUAGGGGAGCGUUCUGUAAGCCGUUGAAGGUGUCCUGUGAGGGGUGCUGGAGGUAUCAGAAGUGCGAAUGCUGACAUAAGUAACGAUAAAGCGGGUGAAAAGCCCGCUCGCCGGAAGACCAAGGGUUCCUGUCCAACGUUAAUCGGGGCAGGGUGAGUCGACCCCUAAGGCGAGGCCGAAAGGCGUAGUCGAUGGGAAACAGGUUAAUAUUCCUGUACUUGGUGUUACUGCGAAGGGGGGACGGAGAAGGCUAUGUCAGCCGGGCGACGGUUGUCCCGGUUUAAGCAUGUAGGCGGAGGUUCCAGGUAAAUCCGGUACCUUGUUAACGCUGAGGUGUGAUGACGAGGCACUACGGUGCUGAAGUGAUAAAUGCCCUGCUUCCAGGAAAAGCCUCUAAGCAUCAGGUAACACGAAAUCGUACCCCAAACCGACACAGGUGGUCAGGUAGAGAAUACCAAGGCGCUUGAGAGAACUCGGGUGAAGGAACUAGGCAAAAUGGUGCCGUAACUUCGGGAGAAGGCACGCUGAUAUGUAGGUGAAGUCCCUGCGGACGGAGCUGAAAUCAGUCGAAGAUACCAGCUGGCUGCAACUGUUUAUUAAAAACACAGCACUGUGCAAACACGAAAGUGGACGUAUACGGUGUGACGCCUGCCCGGUGCCGGAAGGUUAAUUGAUGGGGUUAGCGGCAACGCGAAGCUCUUGAUCGAAGCCCCGGUAAACGGCGGCCGUAACUAUAACGGUCCUAAGGUAGCGAAAUUCCUUGUCGGGUAAGUUCCGACCUGCACGAAUGGCGUAAUGAUGGCCAGGCUGUCUCCACCCGAGACUCAGUGAAAUUGAACUCGCUGUGAAGAUGCAGUGUACCCGCGGCAAGACGGAAAGACCCCGUGAACCUUUACUAUAGCUUGACACUGAACACUGGUCCUUGAUGUGUAGGAUAGGUGGGAGGCUUUGAAGCGUGGACGCCAGUCUGCGUGGAGCCAACCUUGAAAUACCACCCUUUAAUGGCUGGUGUUCUAACGUAGACCCGUAAUCCGGGUUGCGGACAGUGUCUGGUGGGUAGUUUGACUGGGGCGGUCUCCUCCCAAAGAGUAACGGAGGAGCACGAAGGUUGGCUAAUCCUGGUCGGACAUCAGGAGGUUAGUGCAAUGGCAUAAGCCAGCUUGACUGCGAGCGUGACGGCGCGAGCAGGUGCGAAAGCAGGUCAUAGUGAUCCGGUGGUUCUGAAUGGAAGGGCCAUCGCUCAACGGAUAAAAGGUACUCCGGGGAUAACAGGCUGAUACCGCCCAAGAGUUCAUAUCGACGGCGGUGUUUGGCACCUCGAUGUCGGCUCAUCACAUCCUGGGGCUGAAGUAGGUCCCAAGGGUAUGGCUGUUCGCCAUUUAAAGUGGUACGCGAGCUGGGUUUAGAACGUCGUGAGACAGUUCGGUCCCUAUCUGCCGUGGGCGCUGGAGAAUUGAGGGGGGCUGCUCCUAGUACGAGAGGACCGGAGUGGACGCAUCACUGGUGUUCGGGUUGUCAUGCCAAUGGCACUGCCCGGUAGCUAAAUGCGGAAGAGAUAAGUGCUGAAAGCAUCUAAGCACGAAACUUGCCCCGAGAUGAGUUCUCCCUGAGACUUUAAGUCUCCUGAAGGAACGUUGAAGACGACGACGUUGAUAGGUCGGGUGUGUAAGCGCAGCGAUGCGUUGAGCUAACCGAUACUAAUGAACCGUGAGGCUUAACCUU